rnacentral:rRNA from 1 species
ACUACGGGUGGCAGCAGUGGGGGAUAUUGCACAAUGGGGGGAACCCUGAUGCAGCGACGCCGCGUGGGUGAAGAAGCGCCUCGGCGCGUAAAGCCCUGUCAGCAGGGAAGAAAAUGACGGUACCUGAAGAAGAAGCCCCGGCUAACUACGGGCCAGCAGCCGCGGUAAACGGUAGGGGGCAAGCGUUAUCCGGAAUUACUGGGGGGAAAGGGGGCGCGGGCGGCGAUGCCAGCAAGGAGGUAAAGCCCGGGGCCCAACCCCGGGACUGCUUUUGGACCUGCGUGGAUGGAGUGCAGGAGGGGUAGGCGGAAUUCCUGGUGUAGCGGUGAAAGGCGUAGAUAUCAGGAGGAACACCGGUGGCGAAGGCGGCCUGCUGGACUGCAACUGACGUUGAGGCCCGAAAGCGUGGGGAGCAAACAGGAUUAGAUACCCUAGUAGUC